ensembl:lncRNA
GCAAUUUUGAAGCACAAAGCAUCCUGUCUCUCAUUUUAGCACUUACUCCCGGAGCUAAGUCUUGUGAAGAGAAAUGCAGAAACCUUCAUGAACUGAAAUUGGGCAUAAAUUGAAUUAUACCAGAAAAUAAAAGAGGACGGCUAUACUUCUGACUUUUUACUCUGCCUUUGACUGGAGUUUGUGGGGCUGUGGUUGGAGGUUUUGGCUGCUGUGGAACUGCUACAUUGGCUUAGUGAACCUAUCUGUACCUGUUGGCGAUUUGAACCUCUGCCCACACAGCCCUGUGACCAGAGACUUUCAACAGGCGCUUACAAGAUGGCUGAUAGGCCACAAGAAGCCAUGGGUAGCAUCAAAGAGAUUGAAUGGAGAGUCUUGUUUUAAAUACAUAUAUUUUUGUGAGGAAUGUAACAUCUUUCAUCUGCUAGAAGCUAAAGCCAGUGAUGAGGUUUCUUGCUGUGCUUUUGUGUAUCAUACAAUGGCAAAGGUGAAAACUGAAUAUGGACUUGUACUGUAUUUGCUUGGCUGACGACAACAAAAAAGGAGAGAAAUGAAAUCAAGACAUGGUCAUUCCCAGUUUUUCUAACAGUUUAUAAAGAAUGCCUUUGAUUAAAAAUAUUCCCUGGCCACCUUUAUGUAACCUAUUCAGAGAUGUAAACUACUCUUAACAUUAGAGAGCUGUUUCAGAAUUUUAUACCUCUGGUAGCUUCUCAUUUAAUUUUGCCUUGAUGUUUCAAUUGAUUUUUCCUUCCCUGUUAUUUACAUUUUCUAGCUCUUUCAUGCUUCAUAAUGUUUGCCAUUAUCUCACUUCUUUAUACAGAAACAUAUUUAUUAUCAAAACAUCAGUCUUAAUUUUACUUAACUCUAUAAAACAUACUACUUUGAUAUCAUUUGUGAAGUCAUAAUUCAGCACUAUGCUCACUGCAGUUGCUAUUCUGUAUAUGUAUUCUAACUUGAAACAGUAUUUUUGAGCACUGGAGAUUCAAGUAAUAUUUCUGACAUUCAGAUUUGAUAUCUGGACAAUAUCUCACCCUUAUACAAGGGUAUUGAUCUCCCUUACCUCUUCUAGAAAUACCUUUUCAAAUAAAUUGUGUCCUUUUCCAAAGCA